rnacentral:rRNA from 1 species
GAUAAACGCUGGCGGCGUGCAUAAAACAUGCAAGUCGAACGAGGUCUCGCAAGGGACCUAGUGGCGGACGGCUGAGUAACACGUAAGUGACCUACCCUCGAGUGGGGAAUAACUGCUCGAAAGAGUGGCUAAUACCGCAUGAGCUCACGGCUUCGUUGUUGUGAGAAAAGCAGUAAUGUGCUUGAGGAUGGGCUUGCGGCCGAUUAGCUAGUUGGUGGGGUAAAGGCCUACCAAGGCGAUGAUCGGUAGCUGGUCUGAGAGGAUGAUCAGCCAGACUGGGACUGCGACACGGCCCAGACUCCUACGGGAGGCAGCAGUUAGGAAUUUUGCGCAAUGGACGAAAGUCUGACGCAGCAACGCCGCGUGAAGGACGAAGGCCUUCGGGUCGUAAACUUCUUUUCUAGGGGAAGAUAGUGACGGUACCCUAGGAAUAAGCCCCGGCUAACUACGUGCCAGCAGCCGCGGUAAUACGUAGGGGGCGAGCGUUGUCCGGAUUUAUUGGGCGUAAAGAGCGCGUAGGCGGCUUGCCAAGUCGUGCGUGAAAUACCUCGGCUCAACCGGGGGGUGUCGUGCGAUACUGGUAGGCUUGAGGCCGGUAGGGGGAAGUGGAAUUCCCGGUGUAGUGGUGGAAUGCGUAGAUAUCGGGAGGAACACCAGUGGCGAAGGCGGCUUCCUGGACCGGUCCUGACGCUGAGGCGCGAAAGCGUGGGGAGCGAACUGAAUUAGAUACUCAGGUAGUCCACGCUGUAAACGAUGGAUGCUAGGUGUCGGGGGUAUCGACCCCUCCGGUGCCGCAGCUAACGCAUUAAGCAUCCCGCCUGGGGAGUACGGCCGCAAGGCUA